rfam:Human gut metagenome DNA, contig sequence: F1-S_003521.
UCUAUCGUGAGGUAGAAUCUGAAGGAAGUCAGCGGCAAACAUCUGGUCUGACGGACAGAAAUCCGAUAUAAGGCCUAAGGGUGAGGAUGAGUCUGCUGAUGAAGACAAAGUCCGAUAACUAUCCGAAAUCACCCAAGGUAAAUCGGGCAGAUAUAAGAUGGAAAGAGUAUGUC